AUGAACGCUGGCGGCGUGCCUCAUCCAUGCCAGUCGAGCGAACAGACGAGGAGCUUGCUCCUCUGACGUUAGCGGCGGACGGGUGAGUAACACGUGGAUAACCUACCUAUAAGACUGGGAUAACUUCGGGAAACCGGAGCUAAUACCGGAUAAUAUAUUGAACCGCAUGGUUCAAUAGUGAAAGACGGUUUUGCUGUCACUUAUAGAUGGAUCCGCGCCGCAUUAGCUAGUUGGUAAGGUAACGGCUUACCAAGGCGACGAUGCGUAGCCGACCUGAGAGGGUGAUCGGCCACACUGGAACUGAGACACGGUCCAGACUCCUACGGGAGGCAGCAGUAGGGAAUCUUCCGCAAUGGGCGAAAGCCUGACGGAGCAACGCCGCGUGAGUGAUGAAGGUCUUCAGAUCGUAAAACUCUGUUAUUAGGGAAGAACAAAUGUGUAAGUAACUAUGCACGUCUUGACGGUACCUAAUCAGAAAGCCACGGCUAACUACGU
rnacentral:rRNA from 1 species